UGGGGAAUUUUGGACAAUGGGGGAAACCCUGAUCCAGCCAUCCCGCGUGUGCGAUGAAGGCCUUCGGGUUGUAAAGCACUUUUGGCAGGAAAGAAACGUCAUGGGUUAAUACCCCGUGAAACUGACGGUACCUGCAGAAUAAGCACCGGCUAACUACGUGCCAGCAGCCGCGGUAAUACGUAGGGUGCAAGCGUUAAUCGGAAUUACUGGGCGUAAAGCGUGCGCAGGCGGUUCGGAAAGAAAGAUGUGAAAUCCCAGGGCUCAACUUUGGAACUGCAUUUUUAACUACCGGGCUAGAGUGUGUCAGAGGGAGGUGGAAUUCCGCGUGUAGCAGUGAAAUGCGUAGAUGUGCGGAGGAACACCGAUGGCGAAGGCAGCCUCCUGGCAUAACACUGACGCUCAUGCACGAAAGCGUGGGGAGCAAACAGG
rnacentral:rRNA from 1 species